rnacentral:rRNA from 1 species
GACGAACGCUGGCGGCGUGCUUAACACAUGCAAGUCGUACGGUAAGGCCCUUUCGGGGGUCCACGAGUGGCGAACGGGUGAGUAACACGUGAGUAACCUGCCCACAACUUUGGGAUAACGCUAGGAAACUGGUGCUAAUACUGGAUAUGUGCUCCUGCUGCAUGGUGGGGGUUGGAAAGCUCCGGCGGUUGUGGAUGGACUCGCGGCCUAUCAGCUUGUUGGUGGGGUAGUGGCCUACCAAGGCGGCGACGGGUAGCCGGCCUGAGAGGGUGACCGGCCACAUUGGGACUGAGAUACGGCCCAGACUCCUACGGGAGGCAGCAGUGGGGAAUAUUGCACAAGGGGCGCAAGCCUGAUGCAGCAACGCCGCGGGCGGGAUGACGGCCUUCGGGUUGUAAACCGCUUUCAGCAGGGACGAAGCUUUUUGUGACGGUACCUGCAGAAGAAGCACCGGCUAACUACGUG